AUAUAUGCAUAUGUAUCAUGUACAAUUUCAUUCACCAAUUGUUCUAUCAAGCAAGAUAGCAAAAUUAACGGUUUAUCACAAACCGUCACAAACAAGGGUUUCACAUACCACACAAUCACACAUAUAUACACAAAGAUAUGAGCAAUUAUAUACACCGCCAAGUCUUCACUGUUCUUGGUGGUACAAAGAAAUAACUAUCGGAGUACUCAGUAAGGGGUAUCACUCAGUAUCCCUCUUUGCACACCUUUGAAUUUCUAGGAAAUUGUGGGCACUACGUAUCGCCGUCCCCACUUUGCACAUGCAUGGUAGUAAUUAUCACAACCUUUAUCAUUAAACCGACAUUUGUACUUCCC
rnacentral:lncRNA from 1 species